rnacentral:rRNA from 1 species
CCCUUAGAUGUCCUGGGCUGCACGCGUGCUACAAUGGCGUUUCCAGCAAGUCUGCGAACCCGAGAGGGCCAGCGGAUCUUCGAAUUGGCGUCGUGAUCGGGACAGUCGAUUGCAAUUAUUUGACUCAAACGAGGAAUUCCUUGUAAUCGCGAUUCAUCAUAUCGCGCUGAAUACGUCCCUGCCCUUUGUACACACCGCCCGUCGCUCCUACCGAUUGAGCGAUCCGGUAAAUGUUUUGGAUUGGUGCCGGGGCGGCUAGCUGCCGGUCGCUACGAAAUUUUGUGAACCUUAUCGCUUAGAGGAAGGAAAAGUCGUAACA